rnacentral:tRNA from 1 species
GGGCGCUUAGCUCAGCUGGGAGAGCAUCGGCCUUACAAGCCGGAGGUCGCAGGUUCAAUCCCUGCAGCGCCUACCA